UACAGAGGGGGCAAGCGUUGCUCGGAAUCACUGGGCGUAAAGGGCUUGUAGGCGACCAACUAAGUCCGACGUGAAAUCCCCAGGCUUAACCUGGGAACUGCGUCGGAUACUGGAUGGCUUGAAUUCGGGAGAGGGAUGCAGAAUUCCAGGUGUAGCGGUGAAAUGCGUAGAUAUCUGGAGGAAUACCGGUGGCGAAGGCGGCAUCCUGGACCGACAUUGACGCUGAGGAGCGAAAGCUAGGGGAGCAAACGGG
rnacentral:rRNA from 1 species